rnacentral:rRNA from 1 species
UACGUAGGGGGCAAGCGUUGUCCGGAAUCAUUGGGCGUAAAGCGCGUGUAGGCGGCUGAGUAAGUCUGCUCUGAAAGCCCGGGGCUCAACCCCGGGAGGCGGGUGGAUACUGCUCAGCUCGAGUCCGGAAGAGGAGUGUGGAAUUCCUGGUGUAGCGGUGAAAUGCGUAGAUAUCAGGAGGAACACCGGUGGUGUAAACGGCUUUCUGGACCAUAACUGACGCUGAGGCACGAAAGCGUGGGUAGCAAACAGG